GAUGAGACCAUGUCACUAUCAAUCGACAGCACUUCAUCAACAUCGAUCGAUUGUCUAUUCAUUGUGUCGAUCGACACUGAUGGCGAGCAGGUUAUCGUUCUUACUUGUUAAAUUGUCUACUUAUUAUUUAUGUUCUAACCAUAACUCCGACUAGAUAUACACUGGGGACAGUGUAAUUUAAGUCUGGGGGGAUGUUUACUGAUAUUUGCUUAUCUAUUGAGUUUUAUAAAAUGUUUUCAAAACUGUUUUUAUUGACUCAAGAAGGGGAUAAUGAACUUAUUAGAUUCAUGCUUGUUAUCUAACCACUCUUUAGCACCAUUCUAGACUUACUGAUUACAGAUAGUACUAAAGAUACUAAAGUGGAUCAACAUGUCAACUAUGUUCACACUUGCUGAGAAUGUUUGAAGGAACCGAAGCUGACCUCCAACCUAAUUUGACUUAACUGCUUGUCUUGGGGCUUGGUAUACACUGGAUCGGAUUCUUCCUUCAGGUCUGAAAGGUUAAAUUCUGAGUGAUUUUGGUUUCCUUAUCUCCUCCCUUUGGCAUCCUAAUAAAAUAAAAUAAAAGAUUGAGAUGAUUUCUUGCGGUUUAGAGGGGUAGGUACAUUACCGAUGACCCCAUUAUUCUACUCUAAUAGAAUGAUCACACAUUGUUGGAAGCGAGGGGUAGGUACAUUACCGAUAACCCCACUAUUCGCCUACACUUUGUCAAGAAAAGAAAAAGAAAAAGAAAAAAAAAUAAUUAAAAAAAAAUCAAAAAGAAGGUGAAUAAGAUGGACUGCAUCAGCAUCUUUGUUCAUUGGAAUUGAGAUAAAAAGGACUCAGAGAAGGGAUAUAUAAAGUAAAAGAAACCAUAACAAGACUACCUGUUUACUCAGAUACCUGUUGCGGUAAGAGUCCAUGUGUCUUGUGAUCGAUACUCCCAAGGUAAAGCAUACACAUUUAUUUAUGUUAAGAAAUGAGGUUGGUCGAGGGGAAUGUCAGACAUGAUUUGCUAAGAUGUUGGCUAGGUGAAUUUGGUUGCUAAGCUAGGAUAUUAUAUAAUGUGCUUCUGUGAUUAGGACUUCUUAGAUGUGGAUUGCAAUAUUGUAGAGGUGAUGAUUCUAUGUUUUAAAUCAUGUGAGUCCCUGCUGUUUUCAAAACCUCUUUCAGAGAGACUGCCCGUCU
rnacentral:lncRNA from 1 species